ensembl:rRNA predicted gene, 23084
GAAUUUAGCCAUAUUGCCCUGGAAGUGCCUGCUCUGGUUUGAUCUCAGAAACUAAGCAAGAUCAGACACAGUUAGAGUUGGAGGGGAGACCUAGGAAACCAAUGGCUGUAGGGU